GAUGAAGAACGCAGUGAAAUGCGAUACGUAAUGUGAAUUGCAGAAUUCAGUGAAUCAUCGAAUCUUUGAACGCAUAUUGCGCUCUUUGGUAUUCCGAAGAGCAUGCUUGUUUGAGUAUCAGUAAACACCUCAAAGACUUCAAUUUGUUUUGAAUGGCUUUGGACUUGAGCAAUCCCAACACCAGUCUUUACGAUCGGUGGAGGGUUGCUUGAAAUGCAGGUGCAGCUGGACAUUCUCCUGAGCUAAAAGCAUAUUUAUUUAGUCCCGUCAAACGGAUUAUUACUUUUGCUGCAGCUAACAUAAAGGGAGUUUGACCGUAUUGGCUGACUGAUGCAGGAUUUCACAAGGGUCGGCAACGAUUCUUGUAAAACUCGAUCUCAAAUCAAGUAAGACUACCCGCUGAACUUAAGCAUAUCAAUAAGCGGAGGA
rnacentral:misc_RNA from 1 species